UAGGGAAUCUUCCACAAUGGACGCAAGUCUGAUGGAGCAACGCCGCGUGAGUGAAGAAGGUUUUCGGAUCGUAAAGCUCUGUUGUUGGUGAAGAAGGAUAGAGGCAGUAACUGGUCUUUAUUUGACGGUAAUCAACCAGAAAGUCACGGCUAACUGCGCGCCAG
rnacentral:rRNA from 1 species